UUCACCGAAGCUCCGGCUGAGGUUUUGCUGUGCACCCGCAGGCGCCUGUGUGAGAAUAAACGCCUCCUGCUUUUUGCAGCCAGUGUCUCGUGUGGUUCAUUCCGGGUUUGGGAUCUGUGGAUAUUUCAUUGUGGAGGCCCCACCGAGAUCCAAGAUCCCGGUUCCGGUUCUGAUCCCGGUCCCUAUCCGGAGGACACCCGACAUCACUGGGAGGUAUACAAGUCUGUAAGGUAAAAGCUUCAAAAGAACAUUAUAUCAAGCUGGUGUUCUAAAGUUGUAUGGUAAUUUUAGGCUUAAAAAAAAAAUGUUGAAAAUUCGAUUAUAUCAUUUGUGUUCUAUAACUGAACUUGUUAUCAAUAAGAUAUGUACAGUUCCAUGUUACUUUCUACUCUAAGAUACAAUUUAUGUAUUUUUAAGUUAAUAAGAGCCUAAUCUGUGUAAAGGUUUAAUUGCAAAACACAAAAGUACAUUACUACUUUUCUACAAAAAGUUAAAAGCUUUCAGCCUUUAAUUCAUAUUUUAGGUGUGAUAUUAUGUUGUGUUAGCUAAUGUUCAUGUAAACUUGAACAACAAUUUAUGUAAACUUUGUAAAAUGAUCAGCUUCAGAACUAUAGUACUUGAGAUUUAUAAAGAGCCCUGCCUUACUUGAGAUAAGGCUCUGUCCCAUCUCACUACAUGUAAAAAUGGCUAUAAAAAAAGGUAAGCCAGAUUUCAGUACAGUUAAAGUUGUGUCCAAAAGUAGGUUUUUGCCAAGAUUACUAGGAUCUCAAACAGGAAAUUAUGAUGUAUAACCCUGCCAGAAUUCAAGGUAGCUAUUAUAUAAGCUAAAUAUGUUUUUACCCUAGUUAGUUUUGUUUUAUAGUUUGCUUAUAGAUGGUUUAAGGAUUGCCUAUUAAUAUUCUAAAGAGGUAUUGCUUUAAGAACACAACCUGGGUCAACAUAAGAUAAAGAGUUAUCACCUACAGGAUAGAGAGAUAGACAUUAAAGCCCAGUGCUCUUAAUAUAAGGCUGUUAACUUAUUUGCUGGAUGUUUAAGAUCAAGUUUUUAAAAUUAGUUAAAUUAAAAGGGCCAAGAAAACCAAUAUUUGGCUCUUGCCCUCUGAGUCAGUCUGAAUCAGGGAAUAGGGGACUUCUCCAAAGGGCUCAGCAACUCUAGGCCACAUAACCUCCUGAGCAGGGAGAUUAAUGAGACCAGUGGAGGACAGAAAGCCAAAUGGUGCAUUUGCUGUAAAGAGGAGGGUCAUUAAAAAAGGGAGACAUCCCUGAUGCUUCUGAGGGAAGCCAUAUGGUCAAACAAGGCCUGGACCCAUCCUAGCGCAAAUGACACUAGCAGAACUGAAAAGCUGCUAUGAAGUUCCCGAGGACUCCCAGGAUAACUCAGCUGACUGUAAACAAUAGGUAGAAACAAAAGUCAGUUUGACUUGCUUCAUCUUAAACACUUAGCAAAGACAGUCAAAGCCAAAGCACAGCUGUUCCUGGACAUCUUAAAUGAUAAUAAUAAUUAAAUGUAACUUCCAUAAAUAAAUAGACUGGAGGCUACAAGAGAGAUUCUUAGACAGAAAUGCCUGAUAACUGUCAAAGGAACUACUAGAAUAGUUUUAGUCUAAGGCUUUUAUUUCUAGACAACACAGGUAGAUUUGAUGUUUGCUAAUAUGGUUAUCCAGCCCUAAGUAGCAGAAUUAAAGAUUUCUCUAUUAGACACAGAGGAAAAACAAAAGGCUCUUUUGGAAGCUCGCAAAAAUGUGCCAGGGGACGACGGGCGCCCCACCCAACUCACAAAUUUGAUUAAUGAAGCUUUUCCUUUAACCCGGCCAAACUGGGACUAUGCGACUGAAGCAGGUGAGAACCACCUACAUCUCUAUCGCCAGUUACUCAUAGCGGGUCUCCAUGGAGCAGGGGGGUCUCCAUGGAACAGGGCGACGGCCCACCAAUUUGGCUCAGGUAAGACAGACUAUCCAGGGGUCAGAGGAAACUCCGACAGCCUUCUUAGAGAAAUUAAAAGAGGCUUAUCGGAGGUUUACUCCCUUUGAUCCUGAUAAUGAGGACCAAAAAGGAAACAUUUAAUGGGCCUGCCUUCGUCUCCCAGGUAAGUCAGGCGGUAGCCAAUACAUUGAAAAUUAAUUAAAAAUUACAUUAUGGUUAUAGACCCCAAAGUUCAGGACAGGUAAAAAAGAUAAAUAGAACCAUUAAGGAGACUUUAACUAAAUUGACACUUGAAACUGGCACUAGAGACUGGGUACAACUCCUACCUUUAGCCUUGUAUGGGGCCCAAAACACCCCAGGCCCACAUGGACUAACCCCAUUUAAAAUCCUGUACGGUGCCCCACCUCCCGCUAUUAACUUUUAUAAAACUAAAACCUAUGCCUCCCUCACCCCAUCUAUGCAGACUCAUUUGCAUGCUUUGCAAUUGGUCCAGAACGAGGUCUGGAAGCCUCUAGCCGCAGCAUACAAAGAGGAACUUAAAACCCCCUUGCUGCCACAUCCCUUCAAGGUCGGAGAUACCGUCUGGGUACACAGGCACCAGAGCAGGAACCUCGAACCGCGGUGGAAAGGACCCUACACUAUCCUGCUGACCACUCCUACUGCACUCAAAGUGGACGGCAUCGCUGCUUAGAUCCAUGCUUCCCACGUGAAGACUGCACAUCCACAGGAGUCCGCAGACACCUCUCCGGAUCCAGAAUGGAAGUUGCAACAUACCCAAAAUCCGCUAAAGAUAAGACUCACUCGCUGUUAAUUUUUCUUGCUUUGUGCUGUGUCUUCCCCAUAUCAGUUAACCCCAACCAAUCUGUGAGCCAGACAUGACAAGUAUUAUCGGGGACAAAAAAUAUAAUUUAAAAAAAAAAAAAAACAAAACAGGAUCCCCCACUUUCUGCCGACUCUUGCAGGAGCCUGAAAUGGUACGGGGCAGGGCCAUGUACCGCAUUUGCCUGCAACCCCUUAAACAUUACCUUUACUCAGGCAGGCAAAGCAUCAAAAGAUUGGAUAAAAAAAAAAAAACAAUGGGGCCUGAGAAUAUAUCAUAAAACUGCCUAUGACCCUGGGGUCCUAUUCAAAAUUAGAUUAAUAGUAAAUACCAACCCCCAACCAGUAUGCUGAGCCGUCAGCUGAAAUAAUGCUGGAAUCCGAGCAGAUGGGUCAAUGGAUAUAAGAUUAUAUCCAUGAUAUAAAAAAAGGGGGGAAUGAAGGACCCCAAGGCCCCAGGCCCAACAUUAGGAAAACUAACCCCUGUGCCCUGAAGCUGCAAGAUGUUCCAUAUAGAUAACCCCGGAAGGGCCAAACUUGAGCAAACAGGGUAAAAACAGGAACUAAAAGGACAGGAUGCAAUUUUAUGGUUUUUCUGAGAACUAAAGUGGGAAAACAAGUUUACCCCCCUAGGUGACUCAACUGCUGAAUUCAGAGGGACCAAUAGGAAGGCUGUUGCUGUGCUAAGCUAAGACCUAACCCACCUGUUCCCUAUAAAAGAUCUAUACCCCAAAGCCCGGUGUGCCAGUUCACCGAAGCUCCGGCUGAGGUUUUGCUGUGCACCCGCAGGCGCCUGUGUGAGAAUAAACGCCUCCUGCUUUUUGCA